rnacentral:rRNA from 1 species
GGAUGACGGCCUUCGGGUUGUAAACCUCUUUCAGUAGGGAAGAAGCGAAAGUGACGGUACCUGCAGAAGAAGCACCGGCUAACUACGUGCCAGCAGCCGCGGUAAUACGUAGGGUGCGAGCGUUAUCCGGAAUUAUUGGGCGUAAAGAGCUCGUAGGCGGUUUGUCGCGUCUGUCGUGAAAGUCCGGGGCUUAACCCCGGAUCUGCGGUGGGUACGGGCAGACUAGAGUGCAGUAGGGGAGACUGGAAUUCCUGGUGUAGCGGUGGAAUGCGCAGAUAUCAGGAGGAACACCGAUGGCGAAGGCAGGUCUCUGGGCUGUAACUGACGCUGAGGAGCGAAAGCAUGGGGAGCGAACAGGAUUAGAUACCCUGGUAGUCCAUGCCGUAAACGUUGGGCACUAGGUGUGGGGACCAUUCCACGGUUUCCGCGCCGCAGCUAACGCAUUAAGUGCCCCGCCUGGGGAGUACGGCCGCAAGGCUAAAACUCAAAGGAAUUGACGGGGGCCCGCACAAGCGGCGGAGCAUGCGGAUUAAUUCGAUGCAACGCGAAGAACCUUACCAAGGCUUGACAUGUUCUCGAUCGCCGUAGAGAUACGGUUUCCCCUUUGGGGCGGGUUCACAGGUGGUGCAUGGUUGUCGUCAGCUCGUGUCGUGAGAUGUUGGGUUAAGUCCCGCAACGAGCGCAACCCUCGUUCCAUGUUGCCAGCACGUCGUGGUGGGG